UUAAAUCCCAAACCAAACCGAAAAUACUUUUCCUACCUGUAUGCCGCUCCAAACGAAACGCAUGUCUAAAUGCAGGUUAGAAAAUUAAAAAGCCUGCCUCGAAUAGCCUACCAGCUUGCCUCAAAUAAAGAUGCUGUGCUUUGCAAAAGACCCCAGCCAUAAUUUGAGGAUUUACGCUAAGCAAGUAGCCUGGA